rnacentral:lncRNA from 1 species
GGGGUAUCGCCUUGGAAAGCCAGCUGGCUGCCAAGACAGGCACAGGGUGACAUUCACUGCUGUGACUUAACCGAGAAGGAUCUGGCGUCUGUCCUGUUGGCAGGAUGGGGUUUUGUUUCUCUCCCCCUUUCCUUUCCCUGGGGCAUGGCACACACCCAAGUCCCCUCUGGUAUCAGGCAGGCAGUAAGCAAGGGUAAGAGAAAGGGGUCUUUUGUCAAGCCAGACCCUUCAUCCACCAGCAGGGACUAGAAACUCCUGGAAAUUCUUCUGUUCCAAGCAAGGAAAGAAAUAAAGAAAAGCAGAUGGAAUGAGUGAUUGACAAGGCAGACCGGAAACUAAGGAGGGGAAGGGCUGAGAUCAGAGAUCUAGGAGCAGAGCAAUUAAAACACUAAGAGGUGGAAAGGAACAAAAAACCUUCCUAAGAGGGGAGGGGCUCCCAGGACCCUGGGAAAGAGGUGACAGUGUGGGUGGCCUUGGGAGUUGAGAACAAAGGGCAGGCGGGGGUGGAGCCCUGGGAAGGAGAGCUGCAGUUGGGAUUACAGCAGAUGGUUUGAGCAGGAAGUUACUGUUCAGAACAUUCUUCUGGACUUGUGGUUGCAUGAGAUUGAUCAGCUUGGCUUUGUCUGCACCCAGAGAGAAGUUGUGCCUUCCAGGAGAGGCACGCAGUAGCCAAAGCCACAGGAAUGAAGGAUGAGUGCAAGGCCAAGAUACACAUUUGAAAUCCCCCGUAAUCAGCAGAAGAGACAUGGAACCUCCCAAUUUCUCCAUGAGUACAGCUGAACUGACCUGCUACCACAGGAAGCGCCUUUCUGGCUGUCUGCUUCAUAAACUCCAUGAGCCUGUUCUUCCCCCAACGUCUCCAAAUGGAUGCUUCCCGGUCCCUGUCUUGCCACGUGUUCCUCAUCCACAUUGAACUUAUUUCUACAGAGUAGCAUUAUUCUCCUGCUUAAAAUAGGGAUGUCUGAAACAUUGUCCCCUGGAGAAGGGGAAAGGGUCAUGAUCCCCUGAGCAAAUUGAGACCAUGGGAAGAGGGGGGAGGGAGCUAUGAGAAUGAGAAGGGAAGAAGAGGAAGGAUGCAGAGGUUAUGAGGGAGCAGAAAGGUUGAGUCAUGGGAAGAAUAGAAGAAAGGAUAUGUGAUAGGUAGGGUUUUAGUUGGGGGGGGUUGGUAGGGGAGGACGGGAGGGAGAAGGGAACUGGGAUUGUCGUGUAAAACAUUCCUGUUUCUAAUUCAAAUAAAAAAUGAUAAAAGAAAUAGGGAUGUCUGAGUCCCUCAUCACCAGGAAAACACAAAAGAAUAAUUCAAAAAUAUUUAUUAGCUGUUAGUAUUUGGAAUGAAGCUUUGAGGCCAUUAUUCCUUUAUCACACUCAAUCUUAAGAUGGACAGUGAGGGCCUGUGGAGAUGUGCAUCUAGU